rnacentral:rRNA from 1 species
CCUACGGGCGGCAGCAGUGGGGAAUAUUGCACAAUGGGGGAAACCCUGAUGCAGCGACGUCGCGUGAGCGAUGAAGUAUCUCGGUAUGUUAAGCUCUAUCAGCAGGGAAGAAAAUGACGGUACCUGACUAAGAAGCCCCGGCUAACUACGUGCCAGCAGCCGCGGUAAUACGUAGGGGGCAAGCGUUAUCCGGAUUUACUGGGGGUUAAGGGAGCGUAGACGGCGGUGCAAGCCAGAUGUGAAAGCCCGGGGCUCAACCCCGGGACUGCAUUUGGAACUGUGCUGCUAGAGUGUCGGAGAGGCAGGCGGAAUUCCUGGUGUAGCGGUGAAAUGCGUAGAUAUUAGGAAGAACAC